GACGUAGGAUGCGAGCGUUGUCCGGAUUUAUUGGGCGUAAAGAGUUCGUAGGUGGUUCGUUAAGUCUGAUGUUAAAGACUGGGGCUCAACCCUGGGAGUGCAUUGGAUACUGGCGGACUGGAGUGCAGUAGAGGCAAGCGGAAUUCCCAGUGUAGCGGUGAAAUGCGUAGAUAUUGGGAAGAACACCGGUGGCGCAAGCGGCUUGCUGGGCUGUAACUGACGCUGAGGAACGAAAGCGUGGGUAGCAAACAGG
rnacentral:rRNA from 1 species